rnacentral:rRNA from 1 species
AACGAACGCUGGCGGCAGGCCUAACACAUGCAAGUCGAGCGAGGACUUCGGUUCUAGCGGCGGACGGGUGAGUAACGCGUGGGAAUGUGCCCUUCUCUACGGAAUAGCCCUGGGAAACUGGGAGUAAUACCGUAUACGCCCUAUCGGGGAAAGAUUUAUCGGAGAAGGAUCAGCCCGCGUUGGAUUAGGUAGUUGGUGGGGUAAUGGCCUACCAAGCCGACGAUCCAUAGCUGGUUUGAGAGGAUGAUCAGCCACACUGGGACUGAGACACGGCCCAGACUCCUACGGGAGGCAGCAGUGGGGAAUCUUAGACAAUGGGGGCAACCCUGAUCUAGCCAUGUCGCGUGAGUGAUGAAGGCCUUAGGGUUGUAAAGCUCUUUCAGCUGGGAAGAUAAUGACGGUACCAGCAGAAGAAGCCCCGGCUAACUCCGUG